rnacentral:pre_miRNA from 13 species
GCCCGCAUGGGAAAAUGUAUUUUCCUGUGCGGACGUCUUAAUCCGACCGCACAGGAUAAUCCUCAUUAUCCCGUGCGGUC